rnacentral:misc_RNA from 1 species
GCUGCUGCAAAGUGGCUCGCCUUAAAAUCAUUAGCUGGACUUGUCUAUGACUUGGUUCGACUCGAUGUAAUAAGUAUUCAUCGGGGACAGGGUAAAACCUGGCCAAGGCUUGAUGCCGUCUGCUUCUAAUCAUGUUCUCACUAUGAGACGCUACUUUACUGUGUGGCCUCAAAUCAGGUAGGAUUACCCGCUGAACUUAA